rnacentral:rRNA from 1 species
GUUGAACGCUGACAGAAUGCUUAACACAUGCAGUCAAUGAACGUGGCGGAUGGGUGAGUAACGCUUAUAGAAGUUGCCUUACCGCUAGGGACAAGAUAUAGAAGUGAAACCUAAUACCUGAUACUGUGGAAGAGCUUUGCGUACCAUUAGAUAGUUGGGGUGGUAACAGCUCACCAAGGGGAUGAUGGGUAGCCGGCCUGUGAGGGUGAACGGCCCCAAGUGGACUGGGACGCAGCCCUUACUCCUACGGGGGGAAGGAGUGAGGAAUGUUGGAGAAAUGACCGAAGAUUGAUCCAGCAAUUCUGUGUGAAAGAUGAAGUUUUCGGAAUGUAAAGUGCUUUCAGUUGAGAAGCGGUACCAACAGAAGAAGUGACGGCUAAAUACGUGCCAGCAGCCGCGGUAAUAC